GUUAUUAGCAUACACCACUCAUAUUGACGUGGAAAUCGUGAUUGUAUAGACGCCAAGCAGGAUGCGCUCUCUUGCCGUUUUGGUUCUUGUGACUUGUCUUAUGUCCCUGGCAGCAGCUAAACCUGAUAGAGUGGCCUGUUUGGUCUGCAAAAAUGGGAAUCUAAAGGAAAUACGAAGACCUCAGUGCUAUAACAUCAUAAGUCCAUGUGACGAGAGGAUCUUUACUUGUGCAACGGGAUACGAGUGCAUUGUUGGCUGCGACUGCACUGCAAUCUGCACCAAAGACAAUGAAUGCAUCUAAUGCAGCAAGAGGCACAUGAAUUGAACGACGAUGGUCUAGGUCUCCUACAGAUAUGCAAUUUUAAAAUGCAAUCUUUAUAGUUAAGCCUUACAUUAAUAAAGUGGCAUUUGGCCAAAUUUAUCCGUGA